CUCGCGGUGCUGUUCGCUGUUGCCAUGGCAACUAGUAUCGAUGACGAUGUUCUUCAGUUGAAGCGGCAGAUUCUGAAGGACGUCUAGGACAGAAACCAGGAGGAGAUUGUCGAGCCGGGCCCCACGUGCCAUACAUGCGCAGCUGAUGCAGAUUGUGCCAAGCUGGAAAAAUCUAAUCGUCACGCCGAAAAACCGUCUUCAGAGACAAAAGAUACCGAACGAUAGAAAGUGAUUUCAGCAUGUUUCUUUUGUCUCUCUCUCAGCAAGGCGGUCUUCACUCACAGUAUUGCAUGGUUCACAGAAGGACUGUACUUCGGUAGGUAGCCGAGUGGAGCUCGAAGGCCCAAGAGAGGCACCGACUCAGCUUAAAGAUGUUUCGUCUUAAUCUCCUUACCUUAGUCUGUCUGGGACCUCCCCGAGGGAAUUUAUGUACCUAAAGUCAAGAAAUUUCGGGAUUAAAGGGAAAUAAAAAUGGUGCUCCUCG